UGAUAUAUAUCUUGUCAACUCCUAAAAGGCAUGCAGUCUAACUUAACUGUUAUUUGCAUCUCAAACAGUUAAAAAUCUUCGACUUUUAAUUAUGUAUUGUAGCAGGCCCAAUGAUUCAACAGCCCAAUAGUUCUCUUAUGUUUUCAGCCAAGUAGUAGUGACCCGUGUUGUUAGCAUUAAGUCCAGCUGCUAGAUGGUUCUAGAGAAGAGACGGGUGUCAAACGGAGAGUAGGUUUCUUAGGGAAUUCCAGAUUGUCGUCCUUUUAUCUCUAUAUUAGUUCUUUUGCAUUCAAUUCAGAGGUUAUCUAUCAAUGAAAAGCUACUUUCUUUAACUUUCAUUUUAUUCCCUUUUCCUAAAUUAUCUCAGUAGCAGCAGAAUUGCUACAAUUGUGGCAUCAGAGUGCCGGACACUGGCAACGGACUGAUGGUAGAGUCUCAUCGGAGACGAUGGUAGAGAUGACUGAUACGAUGACUGAUACGAUGAGGAGAAUCGAGGAUAUAUUGAUCAGAAUAAGUAACCAAGGCUUGGAACCAUCAUCGUCACCAAGGUCACACGCUGGUGGUAUUCAUGGAGGAACAAUGGUGAAGGGAGCUCAGUCGUCAGUGGG
rnacentral:lncRNA from 1 species